AGGUUACCCGAGCAACUUUGCA
rnacentral:ncRNA from 3 species